GGAUGAAGAGAGCUUGCUCUUUGAUUCAGCGGCGGACGGGUGAGUAAUGCCUAGGAAUCUGCCUGAUAGUGGGGGACAACGUUUCGAAAGGAACGCUAAUACCGCAUACGUCCUACGGGAGAAAGCAGGGGACCUUCGGGCCUUGCGCUAUCAGAUGAGCCUAGGUCGGAUUAGCUAGUUGGUGAGGUAAUGGCUCACCAAGGCGACGAUCCGUAACUGGUCUGAGAGGAUGAUCAGUCACACUGGAACUGAGACACGGUCCAGACUCCUACGGGAGGCAGCAGUGGGGAAUAUUGGACAAUGGGCGAAAGCCUGAUCCAGCCAUGCCGCGUGUGUGAAGAAGGUCUUCGGAUUGUAAAGCACUUUAAGUUGGGAGGAAGGGCAUUAACCUAAUACGUUAGUGUUUUGACGUUACCGACAGAAUAAGCACCGGCUAACUUCGUGCCAGCAGCCGCGGUAAUACGAAGGGUGCAAGCGUUAAUCGGAAUUACUGGGCGUAAAGCGCGCGUAGGUGGUUUGUUAAGUUGAAUGUGAAAGCCCCGGGCUCAACCUGGGAACUGCAUCCAAAACUGGCAAGCUAGAGUAUGGCAGAGGGUGGUGGAAUUUCCUGUGUAGCGGUGAAAUGCGUAGAUAUAGGAAGGAACACCAGUGGCGAAGGCGACCACCUGGGCUAAUACUGACACUGANGUGCGAAAGCGUGGGGAGCAAACAGGAUUAGAUACCCUGGUAGUCCACGCCGUAAACGAUGUCGACUAGCCGUUGGGAUCCUUGAGAUCUUAGUGGCGCAGCUAACGCAUUAAGUCGACCGCCUGGGGAGUACGGCCGCANGGNUAAAACUCAAAUGAAUUGACGGGGGCCCGCACAAGCGGUGGAGCAUGUGGUUUAAUUCGAAGCAACGCGAAGAACCUUACCAGGCCUUGACAUGCAGAGAACUUUCCAGAGAUGGAUU
rnacentral:rRNA from 1 species